GAGCAAGGGCGUCAAAUUUAAAAAAAAAAAUGGCGUGAUUUGCAUUGAAGGUUGGCGAUAUCAAUUAUCUAAGCGAUUCUCCGUGCCUAUCAAUUUUAUUUUCAGUUUUGAUUAUGGCCUCGAACAAGUCGCGACAUU
rnacentral:snoRNA from 1 species